UGGGGAAUACUGGACAAUGGGCGAAAGCCUGAUCCAGCAAUGCCGCGUGAGUGAUGAAGGCCUUAGGGUUGUAAAGCUCUUUUACCAGGGAUGAUAAUGACAGUACCUGGAGAAUAAGCUCCGGCUAACUCCGUGCCAGCAGCCGCGGUAAUACGGAGGGAGCUAGCGUUGUUCGGAAUUACUGGGCCUAAAGCGUACGUAGGCGGUGACUCAAGUCAGAGGUGAAAGCCUGGAGCUCAACUCCAGAACUGCCUUUGAAACUAGGUCGCUAGAAUCACGGAGAGGUGAGUGGAAUUCCGAGUGUAGAGGUGAAAUUCGUAGAUAUUCGGAAGAACACCAGUGGCGAAGGCGGCUCACUGGACGUGUAUUGACGCUGAGGUACGAAAGCGUGGGGAGCAAACAGGAUUAGAUACCCCAGUAGUCCCUGAGCGGGCUGGCAAGGCGCAU
rnacentral:rRNA from 1 species